rnacentral:rRNA from 1 species
CCUACGGGAGGCAGCAGUGGGGAAUAUUGGGCAAUGGGGGCAACCCUGACCCAGCAACGCCGCGUGAAGGAAGAAGGCUUUCGGGUUGUAAACUUCUUUUACCAGGGACGAAGGACGUGACGGUACCUGGAGAAAAAGCCACGGCUAACUGCGUGCCAGCAGCCGCGGUAAUACGUAGGUGGCAAGCGUUGUCCGGAAUUACUGGGUGUAAAGGGAGCGCAGGCGGGUUUGCAAGUUGGAUGUUUAAUCGAGGGGCUCAACCCCUUUCCGCAUUCAAAACUGCAGAUCUUGAGUGGUGCAGAGGUAGGCGGAAUUCCCGGUGUAGCGGUGGAAUGCGUAGAUAUCGGGAGGAACACCAGUGGCGAAGGCGGCCUACUGGGCACUAACUGACGCUGAGGCUCGAAAGCAUGGGUAGCAAACAGGAUUAGAUACCCUAGUAGUC